AUGAACAAUAAGUGGAUCACUCUUGGAAAAUUGCCUCAACCAUCCGCGGUGGUGGUGAAUGGUCGGGACCUUGCUUUCCGGGCGUGUGGCCAUCGGCUGAUUGUUGUUCAUGGUGCAAGGACUUCUACUGCCGACAUGGUCGAGUUUCAUUCAUGGGUCCCGGGUCAGCAACCGCCUGUGUGGAAUCUGGUCGCCACACGGCGGUCCGAGAGCUUGGUGUUUGACUGUGCCGUCAUGGGUUGCUGA
rnacentral:rRNA from 1 species